rnacentral:rRNA from 1 species
AUUGAACGCUGGCGGCAUGCCUUACACAUGCAAGUCGAACGGUAACGGGCCUUCGGGUGCCGACGAGUGGCGGACGGGUGAGUAAUACAUCGGAACGUGCCCGAUCGUGGGGGAUAACGAGGCGAAAGCUUUGCUAAUACCGCAUACGAUCUACGGAUGAAAGCAGGGGACCGCAAGGCCUUGCGCGGACGGAGCGGCCGAUGGCAGAUUAGGUAGUUGGUGGGAUAAAAGCUUACCAAGCCGACGAUCUGUAGCUGGUCUGAGAGGAUGAUCAGCCACACUGGGACUGAGACACGGCCCAGACUCCUACGGGAGGCAGCAGUGGGGAAUGUUGGACAAAGGGCGCAAGCCUGAUCCAGCCAUGCCGCGUGCAGGAUGAAGGCCUUCGGGUUGUAAACUGCUUUUGUACGGAACGAAAAGCCUUCUUUUAAUACAGGAGGGUCAUGACGGUACCGUAAGAAUAAGCACCGGCUAACUACGUG